UACAGAGGUCCCAAGCGUUGUUCGGAUUCACUGGGCGUAAAGCGCACGUAGGCGGUCUUUUAAGUCGGGGGUGAAAUCCUGGAGCUCAACUCCAGAACUGCCUUCGAUACUGGAAGACUUGAGUCCGGGAGAGGUGAGUGGAACUGCGAGUGUAGAGGUGAAAUUCGUAGAUAUUCGCAAGAACACCAGUGGCGAAGGCGGCUCACUGGCCCGGUACUGACGCUGAGGUGCGAAAGCGUGGGGAGCAAACAGG
rnacentral:rRNA from 1 species